rnacentral:lncRNA from 1 species
CUAACACAACGGGAAGGAAAAGAGAUGCUAUGGGAAGGCUCUAAAAGGUAUAAUAAAGAACCUGAAGGAAAAAUUGCAGCAACCAACAUUCUUAAUGACAUUGCGAUGUGACUGUAUGUGGUCACAAUAGCUCUAAGUGCUGUGACCCUUUAUUUUUUUUUGUAGAGUUUCUGACCGCUCUUUCUCAUGGUGUUGUGAAUUGCCUCUCAAGACAUUUUUAGGAAAUCUGGGUGUUGCUGUUCAUUCUUUUGGGCACUAGCCUUCACUGUAAAAACAAAGUGUUUUUAAAUAAUAAUUAGCUUUGGAGAAGAGUCAGUUGGUAUUAAACAUCUACAUAAAAUAAGACCAUGUAAUGCUAUAAUGGAAUUGAAAGAAAAAAGAUAUUUGAAGAAAGGCUUUAGUUUUGCAAAAUGUGAAAAUUACAAUUUUAGUGUUCUCUAAUUUUAAAGCUUCAUUUUUCUGAUGCAGCUGCUAUUUAUGUCAGUUCCUGUCCCGAAAAUCUUACAGUCCAAGACCCCAAUCCUACAUAUAUUUAUAGCUGCCCUCAAAUUCACCUUUCUGAACCCAUUUAAGGAGAUUGGUGAGUACCUCAAUAUUUCUUCUAAUCCUUUUAACAAGUACUGGUCAUGGC